UACAGAGGGGGCAAGCGUUGUUCGGAAUUACUGGGCGUAAAGGGCGCGUAGGCGGCCUGCUAAGUCGAACGUGAAAUCCCCGGGCUCAACCCGGGAACUGCGUUCGAGACUGGCGGGCUUGAAUUCGGGAGAGGGAUGCGGAAUUCCAGGUGUAGCGGUGAAAUGCGUAGAUAUCUGGAGGAACACCGGUGGCGAAGGCGGCAUCCUGGACCGACAUUGACGCUGAGGCGCGAAAGCCAGGGGAGCAAACGG
rnacentral:rRNA from 1 species